rnacentral:rRNA from 1 species
AGAUUGAGCGCUGGCGGCAUGCCUAACACAUGCAAGUCGAACGGGAGUAGCAAUACUCUAGUGGCGGACGGGUGAGGAAUACGUAGGAAUUUGCCCUUAAGUGGGGGAUAACCCGGGGAAACCCGGAUUAAUACCGCAUGACCUCGAAAGAGCAAAGUGGGGGAUCGCAAGACCUCACGCUUUUGGAGAAGCCUACGUCGGAUUAGCUAGUUGGUGAGGUAAUGGCUCACCAAGGCGACGAUCCGUAACUGGUCUGAGAGGAUGAUCAGUCACACCGGAACUGAGACACGGUCCGGACUCCUACGGGAGGCAGCAGUGGGGAAUAUUGGACAAUGGGCGCAAGCCUGAUCCAGCAAUGCCGCGUGUGCGAAGAAGGCCUUCGGGUUAGUAAAGACCCAAUUUAAGUUAGGAAGAAAAAACGUACGACGUACUAACACAGUGAGUCUUGACGGUACCGACAGAAUAAGCACCGGCUAACUCUGUGCCACGCACGCCGGC